GGCUUUUCAUUUGUAAAUAUAUCGUGUUUUUGGCGUUGUCUCUGGAGAUGGUGAAUCAGCCCUUCACGGAGUCUGUGUAGCUUGUGCUACUUCCAUCAUAUCUAAUAUAUGCGACUCACUGCAGCCCCUUCCCUGGAGCCUGGCGGACCCAGUUCAUGCUAUAUCUACUGAAGGUGAAUCCAGAGGCAACACAGGUGAGUCUCAGGGACCCCCCAGGCUUCACCAGGUCUCCCCCAGACUCCACCAGCUACACGAGUGUCUCUUAUACUCU